UGUUCGAAAGGGAAACAGCCCAGACCACCAGCUAAGGUCCCAAAAUAUAUGUUAAGUGGAAAAGGAUGUGGCGUUGCCCAGACAACUAGGAUGUUGGCUUAGAAGCAGCCAUCAUUUAAAGAGUGCGUAAUAGCUCACUAGUCGAGUGACACUGCGCCGAAAAUGUACCGGGGCUAAACAUAUUACCGAAGCUGUGGAUUGUCCUUUGGACAAUGGUAGGAGAGCGUUCUAAGGGCGUUGAAGCAUGAUCGUAAGGACAUGUGGAGCGCUUAGAAGUGAGAAUGCCGGUGUGAGUAGUGAAAGACGGGUGAGAAUCCCGUCCACCGAUUGACUAAGGUUUCCAGAGGAAGGCUCGUCCGCUCUGGGUUAGUCGGGUCCUAAGCUGAGGCCGACAGGCGUAGGCGAUGGAUAACAGGUUGAUAUUCCUGUACCACCUAUAAUCGUUUUAAUCGAUGGGGGGACGCAGUAGGAUAGGCGAAGCGUGCGAUUGGAUUGCACGUCUAAGCAGUAAGGCUGAGUAUUAGGCAAAUCCGGUACUCGUUAAGGCUGAGCUGUGAUGGGGAGAAGACAUUGUGUCUUCGAGUCGUUGAUUUCACACUGCCGAGAAAAGCCUCUAGAUAGAAAAUAGGUGCCCGUACCGCAAACCGACACAGGUAGUCAAGAUGAGAAUUCUAAGGUGAGCGAGCGAACUCUCGUUAAGGAACUCGGCAAAAUGACCCCGUAACUUCGGGAGAAGGGGUGCUCUUUAGGGUUAACGCCCAGAAGAGCCGCAGUGAAUAGGCCCAAGCGACUGUUUAUCAAAAACACAGGUCUCUGCUAAACCGUAAGGUGAUGUAUAGGGGCUGACGCCUGCCCGGUGCUGGAAGGUUAAGAGGAGUGGUUAGCUUCUGCGAAGCUACGAAUCGAAGCCCCAGUAAACGGCGGCCGUAACUAUAACGGUCCUAAGGUAGCGAAAUUCCUUGUCGGGUAAGUUCCGACCCGCACGAAAGGCGUAACGAUUUGGGCACUGUCUCAACGAGAGACUCGGUGAAAUCAUAGUACCUGUGAAGAUGCAGGUUACCCGCGACAGGACGGAAAGACCCCGUGGAGCUUUACUGUAGCCUGAUAUUGAAAUUCGGCACAGCUUGUACAGGAUAGGUAGGAGCCUUUGAAACGUGAGCGCUAGCUUACGUGGAGGCGCUGGUGGGAUACUACCCUAGCUGUGUUGGCUUUCUAACCCGCACCACUUAUCGUGGUGG
rnacentral:rRNA from 1 species